CAUACCACAGUGCUGACCCCGGAGAGGUUUAGCACGCUCCCCCAGCAGGGAUGCCAGCAGCUGGACUGCAGCUGUUACAGCUAGGGGCAUUUAACCAAUGUCGUUCCCGGACAUCACCAAAGGGAGAAAGGGAGCAUCAAUGAAUGAAUAAAAGGAGCCCCAGAAAACUGAUCGCAAAAAUAGACGAACACAUAAAAAGAAGAGGGUGUGAGAGUUUGCAAGCAGGAGGGAAAGAGUGGGAGAAGGAGACUGGGAGUUUCCCCAGGCGACCUAAUGCAAACAUACCAGCUUGCUUCCCCACUGCAACGUGGAGCUUCGGGGACUCAGGCCAGACUAAUCUGCGAUGGGAUACUAAACAAACACCCCCUCAACCCAAAAGCUGCCCCAAUCUAGUUCAUUGCAGGUGACUAGAGGGCUGCUCUGAAUCCUCCUGCCCUUCUGAGCUGUUGGGAAGUUGUUCUCCUUAUGAAGGUUUCACCCCAUGGACACAGGAACUCCGGCAACAGCUCAGGAAUGUGCAGACACCAUUGCACUCCUUAAUUGAAGACCUGGCUCUGCAAUAGUCCAGCAGAUUUCUUGUGCAAUUACACCACCUUUCUGAUUUUUUGACAAAAAAAAAUUGGUGCCUAA